rnacentral:rRNA from 1 species
UAACUUGCUUGACUAGGUCUUAUCAAGUUCUGGAUAAAGCUUAUUAUGAAAACUUUAUAUCCAUAGGUCUCGACCAAAUCUUGUGCCAGCAGUCGCGGUAAGACAAGGGAGACGAGUGUUAUUCAUCUUUAACAGGUAUAUAGGGUACCUAGACGGUGUGCAAUGGCUUAAAUAAGUACCUGGUACACUUGAGUUUGAUAUG